GUGGGGAAUUGUUCGCAAUGGGCGCAAGCCUGACGACGCAACGCCGCGUGGAGGAUGAAGACUUUCGGGUCGUAAACUCCUUUCGACCGAGAUGAAUGUCCCUCGACCCAACACGUCGAGGGAGUGACAGUAUCGAGGGAAGAAGCCCCGGCUAACUCUGUGCCAGCAGCCGCGGUAAUACAGGGGGGGCAAGCGUUGUUCGGAAUUACUGGGCGUAAAGGGUUCGUAGGUGGCCAACUAAGUCAGACGUGAAAUCCCUCAGCUUAACUGGGGAACUGCGUCUGAUACUGGUUGGCUUGAGUGCAGGAGAGGAACGCGGAAUUCCAGGUGUAGCGGUGAAAUGCGUAGAUAUCUGGAGGAACACCGGUGGCGAAGGCGGCGUUCUGGACUGCAACUGACACUGAGGAACGAAAGCCAGGGGAGCAAACGGGAUUAGAUACCCGGGUAGUCC
rnacentral:rRNA from 1 species